rnacentral:lncRNA from 1 species
CAUGUUUGAGAUUCACAAAAGCACAUGGGGUUUCACCCCAAUGAUCAUCAGGUCUUCCUACAAUGGCAGCUUCAAGAACCGAUGGAUGAUUGAAUAGCACAGAUUCAACUUCAAUUGUACUAAUGUUUUCUCCUCCAGAAAUUAUGAUGUCUUUUGAACGAUCUUUCAGUUCUAUGUAACCAUCAGGAUGUCUUACUCCCAAAUCUCCACUGCGAAACCAUCCCCCAUUGAAGGCUUCUUCUGUAGCUUUAACAUCUUUCAAAUAACCAAUCAUUACGGUGUUUCCUCUGAUCAUAACUUCCCCCAUGGUUUUUCCAUCAGCUGGAACACUUUCCAUGGUGAUGGGAUUCUUAAUAUCCACCCCCUCCACUCCAAUGUGUUGCAUUCCUUGACGAGAUUUCAAUUUUGCUUGCUUUUCAUCGGGAAGAGAAUCCCAUUCAGGUUUCCAAUGGCAAAAUGUUGCAACACCAUACGUUUCGGUUAAACCAUAACAAUGGACAAUAAGGAAUCCUAAUUCUCUCAUCUUGUACAGUAUAUUAGAUGGCGGAGGAGCGCCCCCGGUCAUCACAGUUACCUUCCCCAGAAGCGGCUUCUGUUCGGUAAUUGGUGCAUUGACGAUCAUGUUUAAUACGGUCGGCGCGCCACCCAUGUGAGUGACGUUGUGUAGAGAAAUAUUAGCGAAGAUUUCUUUGGCAUUCACAUUUCUUUGGCAGAUGUUUGUGCCGCCUUGUGCAGCCACACCCCAAGUCAUAGACCAUCCGUUGCAAUGGAACAUUGGAACAGUCCACAAGUAUACAGCCAUUGAGGACAUAUCAUUCAGAAGGACUGUGGAUAGAGUAUUGAGAUAAGUACCUCUAUGG